CACGUAGGGGACGAGCGUUGUCCGGAUUUACUGGGCGUAAAGAGCGCGCAGGCGGUCGUGCAAGUCGCGUGUGAAAGCCCCCGGCUCAACUGGGGAGGGUCACGCGAUACUGUUCGACUCGAAGGCAGGAGAGGGAAGCGGAAUUCCCGGUGUAGUGGUGAAAUGCGUAGAUAUCUGGAGGAACACCGGUGGCGAAGGCGGCGUUCUGGACUGCAACUGACACUGAAAAACGAAAGCCAGGGGAGCAAACGGG
rnacentral:rRNA from 1 species